GCUGGGCGAGCUUGGCGCCCCGGCCUUCAGGCAGUUAAUUUUGGGCGGGGCUUUGCUCACGGCCUAUUUUUGGCACAUGGAGGCCCCUCGCAAAGUCUCGCGGCAUUCCGAGUCCGGCGGACGAAGUCGGCCAGCCCCACCCCCCAAGCCUAUAGCCCACCUGUUUUUGUGGCCUUUUUCCGCUGGACGAAAUUGGCGCCCCGGCCUUCGGGCAUUUAUUUUUGGGCGUGGCUUUGCCCGUAGCCUAUUUUUGGCAAACGGAGGUCCCUCGUAAAGUCUCGCGGCAUUCCGAGUCCAGCGGACGAAGUUGGCCAGCCCCACCCCCCAAGGCUAUAGCCCACCCGUUUUUGUGCCCUUUUUCCGCUGGACGAACUUGGCGCCCCGGCCUUCGGGCAGUUAUUUUUGGCCGCGGCUUUGCCCGCGGCCUAUUUUUGGCACACGGAGGCCCCUCGUAAAGUCUCGCGGCAUUCCGAGUCCGGCGGACGAAGUUGGCCAGCCCCACCCCCCAAGGCUAUAGCCCACCCGUUUUUGUGGCCUUUUUCCGCUGGACGAACUUGGCGCCCCGGCCUUCGGGCGGUUAUUUUUGGGCGCGGCUUUGCCCGCGGCCUAUUUUUGGCACACGGAGGCCCCUCGCAAAGUCUCGCGGCAUUCCGAGUCCGGCGGACGAAGUUGGCCAGCCCCACCCCCCAAGGCUAUAGCCCACCCGUUUUUGUGGCCUUUUUCCGCUGGACGAACUUGGCGCCCCUGCCUUCGGGUGGUUAUUUUUGGGCGCGGCUUUGCCCGCGGCCUAUUUUUGGCACACGGAGGCCCCUCGCAAAUUCUCGCGGCAUUCCCCCUCCGGCUGAAGAAGUUGGCCAGCCCCACCCCCCAAGGCUCUAGCCCACCCGUUUUUGUGGCCUUUUUCCGCUGGACGACUUGGCGCCCCGCCCUUCGGGCAGUUAUUUUUGGACGCGGCUUUGCCCGCGGCCUAUUUUUGGUACACGGAGGCCCCUCGCAAAGUCUCGCGGCAUUCCGAGUCCGGCGGACGAAGUUGGCCAGCCCCACCCCCCAAGGCUAUAGCCCACCCGUUUUUGUGGCCUUUUUCCGCUGGACGAACUUGGCGCCCCUGCCUUCGGGCGGUUAUUUUUGGGCGCGGCUUUGCCUACAGCCUAUUUUUGGCACACGGAGGCCCCUCGCAAAGUCUUGCGGCAUUCCGAGUCCGGCGGACGAAGUUGGCCAGCCCCACCCCCCAAGGCUAUAGCCCACCCGUUUUUGUGGCCUUUUUCCGCUGGACGAACUUGGCGCCCCGGCCUUCGAGCGGUUAUUUUUAGGUGCGGCUUUGCCCGCGGCCUAUUUUUGGCACACGGAGGCCCCUCGUAAAGUCUCGCGGCAUUCCGAGUCCGGCGGACGAAGUUGGCCAGCCCCACCCCCCAAGGCUAUAGCCCACCCGUUUUUGUGGCCUUUUUCCGCUGGACGAACUUGGCGCCCCGGCCUUCGGGCAGUUAUUUUUGGGCGCGGCUUUGUCCGCGGCCUACUUUUGGCACUCGGAGGCCCCUCGCAAAGUCUCUAGGCAUUCCGAGUCCGGCGGACGAAGUUGGCCAGCUCCACCCCCCAAGGCUAUAGCCCACCCGUUUUUGUGGCCUUUUUCCGCUGGACGAACUUGGCGCCCCUGCCUUCGGGCGGUUAUUUUUGAGCGCGGCUUUGCCCACGGCCUAUUUUUGGCACACGGAGGCCCCUCGUAAAGUCUCGCGGCAUUCCGAGUCCGGCUGACGAAGUUGGCCAGCCCCACCCCCCAAGGCUCUAGCCCACCCGUUUUUGUGGCCUUUUUCCGCUGGACGACUUGGCGCCCCGCCCUUCGGGCGAUUAUUUUUGGACGCAGCUUUGCCCGCGGCCUAUUUUUGGCACACGGAGGCCCCUCGCAAAGUCUCGCGGCAUUCCGAGUCCGGCGGACGAAGUCGGCCAGCCCCACCACCCAAGGCUAUAGCCCACCCGUUUUUGUGGCCUUUUCCGCUGGACGAACUUGGCGCCCCGGCCUUUGGGUGGUUAUUUAUGGGCACGGCUUUUCCCGCGGCCUAUUUUUGGCACCCGGAGGCCCCUCGCAAAGUAUCGCGGCAUUCCGAGUCCGGCGGACGAAGUUGGCCAGCCCCACCACCCAAGGCUAUAGCCCACCCGUUUUUGUGGCCUUUUUCUGCUGGGCGAACUUGGCGCCCCAGCCUUCGGGCGGUUAUUUUUGGGCGCGGCUUUGCCACUGGCCUAUUUUUGGCACACGGAGGCCCCUUGUAAAGUCUCACGGCAUUCCGAGUCCGGCGGACGAAGUUGGCCAGCCCCACCCCCCAAGGCUAUAGCCCACCCGUUUUUGUGGUCUUUUUCCGCUGGACGAACUUGGCGCGCCGGCCUUUGGGUGGUUAUUUAUGGGCACGGCUUUGCCCGCAGCCUAUUUUUGGCACACGGAGGCCCCUCGCAAAUUCUCACGGCAUUCCGAGUCCGGCGGACGAAGUUGGCCAGCCCCACCACCCAAGGCUAUAGCCCACCCGUUUUUGUGGCCUUUUUCCGCUGGACGAACUUGGCGCCCCGUCCUUCGGGCGGUUAUUUUUGGGCGCGGCUUUGCCCCCGGCCUAUUUUUGGCACACGGAGGCCCCUCGCAAAGUCUCGCGGCAUUCCGAGUCCGGCGGACGAAGUUGGCCAGCCCCACCCCCCAAGGCUAUAGCCCACCCGUUUUUGUGGCCUUUUUCCGCUGGACGAACUUGGUGCCCCGGCCUUUGGGUGGUUAUUUUUGGGCGCGGCUUUGGCCGAGGCCAAAUUUUGGCACACGGAGGCCCCUCGCAAAGUCUCGCGGCAUUCCGAGUCCGGCGGACGAAGUGGGCCAGCCCCACCCCCUAAGGCUAUAGCCCACCCGUUUUUGUGGCCUUUUUCCGCCCGGCCUUCGGGCGGUUAUUUUUGGGCGCGGCUUUGCCCACGGCCUAUUUUUGGCACACGGAGGCCCCUCGCAAAGUCUCGCAGCAUUCCGAGUCCGGCGGACGAAGUGGGCCAGCCCCACCACCCCAAGGCUAUAGGCCACCCGUUUUUGUGGCCUUUUUCCGAUAGACGAACUUGGCUCCCCGACCUUCGGGUGGUUAUUUAUGGGCGCGGCUUUGUCCGUGGCCUAUUUUUGGCACACGGAGGCCCCUCGCAAAGUCUCGCUGCAUUCCGAGUCCGGCGGACAAAGUUGGCCAGCCUCACCCCCCAAGGCUAUAGCCCACCCGUUUUUGUGGCCUUUUCCCACUGGACGAACUUGGCUCCCCGGCCUUUGGGCGGUUAUUUUUGGGCGCGGCUUUGCCCACGGCCUAUUUUUGGCAUACGGAGGCCCCUCGCAAAGUCUUGCGGCAAUCCGAGUCCGGCGGAUGAAGUUGACCAGCCACACCCCCCAAGGCUAUAGCCCACCCGUUUUUGUGGCCUUUUUCCACUGGACGAACUUGGCGCCCCGGCCUUCGGGGGGUUAUUUUUGGGCGCGGCUUUGUCCACGGCCUUUUUUUGGCACACAGAGACCCCUCACAAAGUCUNNNNNNNNNNNNNNNNNNNNNNNNNNNNNNNNNNNNNNNNNNNNNNNNNNNNNNNNNNNNNNNNNNNNNNNNNNNNNNNNNNNNNNNNNNNNNNNNNNNNNNNNNNNNNNNNNNNNNNNNNNNNUGGGCGCGGCUUUAUCCGUGGCCUAUUUUUGGCACACGGAGGCCCCUCGCAAAUUCUCGCGGCAUUCCGAGUCCGGCGGAAGAAAGUUGGCCAGCCCCACCCCCCAAGGCUAUAGCCCACCCGUUUUUGUGGCCUUUUUCCGCUGGACGAACUUGGCGCCCCAGCCUUCGGGCGGUUAUUUUUGGGCGCGGCUUUGCCCGCGGCUUAUUUUUGGCACACGGAGGCCCCUCGUAAAGUCUCGCGGCAUUCCGAGUCCGGCGGAUGAAGUGGGCCAGCCCCACCCCCCAAGGCUAUAGCCCACCCGUUUUUGUGGCCUUUUUCCGCUGGACGAACUUGGUGCCCCGGCCUUCGGGUGGUUAUUUUUUGGCGCGGCUUUGGCCGCGGCCAAAUUUGGGCACACGGAGGCCCCUCGCAAAGUCUCGCGGCAUUCCGAGUCCGGCGGACGAAGUUGGCCAGCCCCACCCCCCAAGGCUAUAGCCCACCCGUUUUUGUGGCCUUUUUCCGCUGGACGAACUUGGUGCCCCGGCCUUCGGGUGGUUAUUUUUGGGCGCGGCUUUGGCCGAGGCCAAAUUUUGGCACACGGAGGCCCCUCGCAAAGUCUCGCGGCAUUCCGAGUCCGGCGGACGAAGUGGGCCAGCCCCACCCCCCAAGGCUAUAGCCCACCCGUUUUUGUGGCCUUUUUCCGCCCGGCCUUCGGGCGGUUAUUUUUGGGCGCGGCUUUGCCCACGGCCUAUUUUUGGCACACGGAGGCCCCUCGCAAAGUCUCGCAGCAUUCCGAGUCCGGCGGACGAAGUGGGCCAGCCCCACCACCCCAAGGCUAUAGGCCACCCGUUUUUGUGGCCUUUUUCCGAUAGACGAACUUGGCUCCCCGACCUUCGGGUGGUUAUUUAUGGGCGCGGCUUUGUCCGUGGCCUAUUUUUGGCACACGGAGGCCCCUCGCAAAGUCUCGCUGCAUUCCGAGUCCGGCGGACAAAGUUGGCCAGCCUCACCCCCCAAGGCUAUAGCCCACCCGUUUUUGUGGCCUUUUCCCACUGGACGAACUUGGCUCCCCGGCCUUUGGGCGGUUAUUUUUGGGCGCGGCUUUGCCCACGGCCUAUUUUUGGCACACGGAGGCCCCUCGCAAAGUCUUGCGGCAAUCCGAGUCCGGCGGAUGAAGUUGACCAGCCACACCCCCCAAGGCUAUAGCCCACCCGUUUUUGUGGCCUUUUUCCACUGGACGAACUUGGCGCCCCGGCCUUCGGGGGGUUAUUUUUGGGCGCGGCUUUGUCCACGACCUUUUUUUGGCACACAGAGACCCCUCACAAAGUCUCGCGGCAUUCCGAGUCCGGCGGACGAAGUUGGCCAGCCCCACCCCCCAAGGCUAUAGCCCACCCGUUUUUGUGGCCUUUUUCCGAUAGACGAACUUGGCUCCCCGACCUUCGGGUGGUUAUUUAUGGGCGCGGCUUUGUCCGUGGCCUAUUUUUGGCACACGGAGGCCCCUCGCAAAGUCUCGCGGCAUUCCGAGUCCGGCGGAAGAAGUUGGCCAGCCCCACCCCCCAAGGCUAUAGCCCACCCGUUUUUGUGGCCUUUUUCCGCUGGACGAACUUGGCGCCCCAGCCUUCGGGCGGUUAUUUUUGGGCGCGGCUUUGCCCGCGGCUUAUUUUUGGCACACGGAGGCCCCUCGUAAAGUCUCGCGGCAUUCCGAGUCCGGCAGACGAAGUGGGCCAGCCCCACCCCCCAAGGCUAUAGCCCACCCGUUUUUGUGGCCUUUUUCCGAUAGACGAACUUGGCUCCCCGACCUUCGGGUGGUUAUUU
rnacentral:lncRNA from 1 species